ACAAAUGCCAUGCCACCCUGAACAAAAGCCCAAUCCCAAAUGAUCUCGGAAGCUAAACAGGAUUGGGCCUGUUAGGACUUAGAUGGGAGAGCACCUAGGAAGACCAGGUGCUGUAAGCA
rnacentral:rRNA from 1 species